GAGGAAGCAUGUGCUCUCGUCGCAAAUAUCCUCUAAUAAUUCCUUCCUCUGCCCCAUACUCUCCACUAAAACUCCUGCCAAUUUUCUUGCUACCUUCGACAUCGCGCUUGCCACUUCCUCCAUCACUUCCCUGCCGUUCCAUGAUGUAAGAUGGAUGAAGGCCGAGGAUAAAUGAUAAUUUACAGGUGCCUCCUGUCAAAAUUCAAUUGGGCGAGGAUUCAUGGUGAUUACAAAAAUUCAGAUGUUGAAUCACUUUUGUUAUUUUCAAUUACUCUAAAAACAAUCAUUUAUUCAUUCAAAACUAAUUUCGAUGAUAUGAAAAUUAUAUUUAAAAUGUAAAAUUAAAUAUUCAAUUAUUUUUAAGUGAUUAAAAAGUGUCUUGGAGUGACAGAAACAUAAACAUAUGAUUUUUAACAA